UUGGCAAACUUAUUGAAAAGUAAGGACGCAAAGCUGAGGGUCUAAGCCGCAAUUGAAAAGGCGGUAUGACAGCCGGUUGC
rnacentral:ncRNA from 1 species